GACGAACCGUGCGAACGUUAUUCGGAAUCACUGGGCUUAAAGGGCGCGUAGGCGGGCCUGUUAGUCAGGGGUGAAAUCCCACGGCCCAACCGUGGAAGUGCCUCUGAUACUGCGGGCCUCGAGGGAGGUAGGGGCGUGCGGAACUCAGGGUGGAGCGGUGAAAUGUGUAGAUAUCCUGAGGAACACCGGUGGCGAAAGCGGCGCGCUGGACCUCUUCUGACGCUGAGGCGCGAAAGCCAGGGGAGCAAACGGG
rnacentral:rRNA from 1 species